rnacentral:rRNA from 1 species
GAUGAACGCUGGCGGUAUGCUUAACACAUGCAAGUCGAACGGACUCUUCGGAGUUAGUGGCGGACGGGUGAGUAACGCGUGAGAAUCUGGCUUUGGGUUCGGGACAACCACUGGAAACGGUGGCUAAUACCGGAUGUGCCGAGAGGUAAAAGAGAAAUUGCCUGAAGAUGAGCUCGCGUCUGAUUAGCUAGUUGGUGAGGUAAAGGCUCACCAAGGCAGCGAUCAGUAGCUGGUCUGAGAGGAUGACCAGCCACACUGGGACUGAGACACGGCCCAGACUCCUACGGGAGGCAGCAGUGGGGCAUUUUCCGCAAUGGGCGAAAGCCUGACGGAGCAAUACCGCGUGAGGGAAGAAGGCUCCUGGGUUGUAAACCUCUUUUCUUAGGGAAGAACAAAAUGACGGUACCUAAGGAAUCAGCAUCGGCUAACUCCGUG